GACAAGGUUCCAGGCCCUACGGGGUGCAGCAGGCGCGAAACCUCCGCAAUGUGAGAAAUCGCGACGGGGGGAUCCCAAGUGCCAUUCUUAACGGGAUGGCUUUUCAUUAGUGUAAAGAGCUUUUGGAAUAAGGGCUGGGCAAGACCGGUGCCAGCCGCCGCGGUAACACCGGCAGCUCUAGUGGUAGCAGUUUUUAUUGGGCCUAAAGCGCCCGUAGCCGGUUUAAUAAGUCUCUGGUGAAAUCCUGUAGCUUAACUGUGGGAAUUGCUGGAGAUACUAUUAGACUUGAGACCGGGAGAGGUUAGAGGUACUCCCAGGGUAGAGGUGAAAUUCUGUAAUCCUGGGAGGACCGCCUGUUGCGAAGGCGUCUAACUGGAACGGUUCUGACGGUGAGGGACGAAAGUUAGGGGCGCGAACCGGAUUAGAUACCCGGGUAGUCCUAACUGUAAACGAUGCGGACUUGGUGUUGGGGUGGCUUUGAGCUGCUCCAGUGCCGAAGGGAAGCUGUUAAGUCCGCCGCCUGGGAAGUACGGUCGCAAGACUGAAACUUAA
rnacentral:rRNA from 1 species